CCUACGGGGGGCUGCAGUGGGGAAUAUUGCACAAUGGGGGAAACCCUGAUGCAGCGACGCCGCGUGAGUGAAGAAGUAUUUCGGUAUGUAAAGCUCUAUCAGCAGGGAAGAAAAUGACGGUACCUGAUUAAGAAGCCCCGGCUAACUACGUGCCAGCAGCCGCGGUAAUACGUAGGGGGCAAGCGUUAUCCGGAUUUACUGGGUGUAAGGGGAGCGUAGACGGCAGCACAAGUCUGGAGUGAAAUGCCGGGGCUUAACCCCGGAACUGCUUUGGAAACUGGGCAGCUAGAGUGCAGGAGAGGUAAGUGGAAUUCCUAGUGUAGCGGUGAAAUGCGUAGAUAUUAGGAGGAACACCAGUGGCGAAGGCGGCUUACUGGACUGUAACUGACGUUGAGGCUCGAAAGCGUGGGGAGCAAACAGGAUUAGAUACCCGGGUAGUC
rnacentral:rRNA from 1 species